UGCCAGCAGCCGCGGUAAUACUGAAGGUGCAAGCGUUAAUCGGAAUCACUGGGCGUAAAGCGCUCGUAGGUGGCUUUGUAAGUCAGAUGUGAAAGCCCACGGCUCAACCGUGGAAUUGCAUUUGAUACUGCAUCGCUAGAGUAUAGGAGAGGGAAGUGGAACUUCUGGUGUAGAGGUGAAAUUCGUAGAUAUUCGGAGGAACACCAGUGGCGAAGGCGACUUCCUGGACUAUUACUGACACUGAGGAGCGAAAGCGUGGGGAGCAAACAGGAUUAGAUA
rnacentral:rRNA from 1 species